CAGAACGGAGCCAGACCUCGGACGCCGGGAAGGCGUAGAGUCGUCGGCAGUUUGUGCCUGUACGGGGCCAGCAAGAGCCAGGGUAGUCUGUCGCCCGUCCCGGAGUGAGAGAGGGUAUCCGGGGACAUCACAUGCAGCAUUCGGCCCAGAGAAUCCUGUGGUCUGCACAGCGGGGUAAGUAAUCAACAGUAAGUAUGUGUCCUUGAAUAAGUAAUGGGGCUUACGGCUAGGAGAUGCUUCGGUUAAGACCGGGAAAGGAAUAAUUCGUGUGUCCACCUCUUUCUACAGGGUCAUCACAUGCAGCAUUCGGCCCAGAGGAUCCUGCGAUCUGCACAGCAGAGUAGGUAAUCAACAGCAAGUAUGCGUUCUUGAAUAAGUAUGGGGCUUACGGCUGGGAGAGGCUUCGGUUGUGACCGGGAAAGGAAUAAUUCUUGUGUCCACCUCUUUUCAUAGGGACAUCACAUGCGGCAUUCGGCCCAGAGGAUCCUGCGAUCUGCACAGCAGAGUAAGUAAUCAA